AAAAAGACAAACCCUGAGUUUCCAUGUCUAACGUUUGACUGUCCGUCUUAUAUAAAAUUUUUUUAUAAUUAGUAUUUUCAUUGUUGUUAGAUGAUAAAAUAUGAUAGUAAUACUUUAUACAUGACUUGUCUGUUUAAUUUUUUUAUAAUUUUUUUUAAAUAAGACGGACGGUUAAACGUUGGAUACAGAAACCUAGGGUUUGUCCUUUU
rfam:Oryza barthii chromosome 12, whole genome shotgun sequence.